rnacentral:rRNA from 1 species
GAGACACCUUCAACGGCCGCGGUAUCCUAACCGUGCAAAGGUAGCGCAAUCACUUGUCCCUUAAAUGAGGACUAGUAUGAAUGGCUAACUGAGGGUACAACUGUCUCCUGAGGCCAAUCAAUGAAACUGAACCUCCAGUACAAAAGCUGGAAUAUACACACAAGACGAGAAGACCCUGUGGAGCUUUAACCUCUGCUACUACCCACCACCCCGCCCCUGCCACGGGGCCAAGCCAAUACAAAAAUAGUAGCUACUUUAAGUUGGGGCGACUGUGGGGCAAAAACAAACCCCCAUGAAACAAGACUAACCAUCCUCAAAGGCCAACAUGCCAACAAGCCCCCCCCCU